AAUCAAACACACCUCAACAGGUGCAUGCUGGGUCUGUCAUGGCUAACAUGGUAAUGCUAACUGGGGAAGUUUUAGCUUCAGUGCAGUGUGUGAGUACCGACUUUCUGCUGUUUUUGACUACUGCUAUACUGGGACCAGAGAGGCUGAGUGGACUGGUUAUAUUAUGCUUUGACAAUGAACGAGCAUAUUUUUUGCGGCGCCCAAGACUAGCAGAAUCGCAGAAUUAUGUACAGAUCAAUCACUGUUUUACUCAUUCCAGAAACAUCCUCGAAGCCAGAAACAGCACUCAGGAGAACACCCAGUAAAGAAGAGGGGGAUUUUAAAGCUCAUUUGUCCAGUUUCUGUCAGAUUGCAUCAUUCAACCCAGGGACCUUCCUCCUACCCCUGUCUUAUCUUCAGGCGAGAGGUGGACACAGCCAGGACGAUCAAUAUGCCACAUGCCACACGCCACACACUCUUCCAUGCUACUCCCAUCCUUUCUCUAAUGGUCUCAACAGCUUGCUCUAUUCUUUUUUCCUAAAUCUCUCUUUGGUAUUUCCCCCUUUUCUUAUCUGUAUUUUUCUAUGGGAAUCGUCAUUACUGCCAAGAGCCAGUUCGCCAUCUGCUGUGACUGAGUACGAGAUUCGCAAUUAGUGAGGAUAAUUUUCACCAAGUAUCUGAAUGGAGCAGCUCAGACCUUCACAGAUCGAUAGAGAGCGACUCAUUAGGGAGGUGAAAAUAAACAGGCAUCGAUGUGGAGCCAGCCAACCACAGUGACAGACGAAUGGGAAGGAGAUACAUUUAUGGGUGGGUUUGCAAGGCAGAGAACUGGCAAGACGAUCACAUUAAACAACCUUGACUGUGGAAAGAAACACAGAGGCAGCUGUUUUACUCCAGUUCUCUUGAUGAAGUUAAAGGACUACACCGGCCCCUUCGUUAAUUUACCUGAUAUGUGAUGAGAGGCUCUACAAUCAUCUCUGUGUCUAAUGAAAACUAAGACAUUAAGAACUUGUAACAGCUGAGAUUGGAUUGUUAAUUAAAGGACCUGUGGUCUCAUUUAUAAAACUGUGCAUAGGAUCCUUA